UACGUAGGUGGCAAGCGUGGUCCGGAAUUAUUGGGCGUAAAGCGCGCGCAGGUGGUUCUUUAAGUCUGAUGUGAAAGCCCACGGCUCAACCGUGGAAGGUCAUUGGAAACUGGGGAACUUGAGUGCAGAAGAGGAAAGUGGAAUUCCAAGUGUAGCGGUGAAAUGCGUAGAUAUUUGGAGGAACACCAGUGGCGAAGGCGACUUUCUGGUCUGUAACUGACACUGAGGCGCGAAAGCGUGGGGAGCAAACAGG
rnacentral:rRNA from 1 species